AUUGAACGCUGGCGGCAGGCUUAACACAUGCAAGUCGAGCGGAGAUGAGGUGCUUGCACCUUAUCUUAGCGGCGGACGGGUGAGUAAUGCUUAGGAAUCUGCCUAUUAGUGGGGGACAACAUUCCGAAAGGAAUGCUAAUACCGCAUACGCCCUACGGGGGAAAGCAGGGGAUCUUCGGACCUUGCGCUAAUAGAUGAGCCUAAGUCGGAUUAGCUAGUUGGUGGGGUAAAGGCCUACCAAGGCGACGAUCUGUAGCGGGUCGGAGAGGAUGAUCCGCCACACGGGGACUGAGACACGGCCCAGACUCCUACGGGAGGCAGCAGUGGGGAAUAUUGGACAAUGGGCGGAAGCCUGAUCCAGCCAUGCCGCGUGUGUGAAGAAGUCCUUUUGGUUGUAAAGCACUUUAAGCGAGGAGGAGGCUACCUGGAUUAAUACUCUAGGAUAGUGGACGUUACUCGCAGAAUAAGCACCGGCUAACUCUGUGCCAGCAGCCGCAGUAACAC
rnacentral:rRNA from 1 species